rnacentral:rRNA from 1 species
AAGCGUGCACGGUGGAUGCCUUGGCAGUCAGAGGCGAUGAAAGACGUGACAGCCUGCGAAAAGCGUCGGGGAGGCGGCAAUAUCCUGUGAUCCGGCGAUAUCUGAAUGGGGAAACCCACUUGUCAUAAGACAGGUAUCGUAAAUUUAUUUACGAGGCAAACCGGGAGAAGUGAAACAUCUCAGUAACCCGAGGAAAAGACAUCAAUAGAGAUUCCCCUAGUAGCGGCGAGCGAACGGGGAGGAGCCGACUGAUUAUAAUUUAGAGGAAUGACUUGGAAAGGUCAAUCGUAGAGGGUGAUAAUCCCGUACUCGAAAGGUUAUAAGAAGCAUAUUAAGUAGGGCGGAACACGAGAAAUUCUGUCUGAAGAUGGGGGGACCAUCCUCCAAGGCUAAAUACUCCUGACUGACCGAUAGUGAACCAGUACCGUGAGGGAAAGGCGAAAAGAACCCCUGUGAGGGGAGUGAAAUAGAUCCUGAAACCGUGUGCAUACAAGCAGUCGGAGCGGACAUGUUCCGUGACGGCGUACCUUUUGUAUAAUGGGUCAGCGACUUUGUCUCUCGAGCAAGCUUAAGCCGGUAGGUGUAGGCGCAGCGAAAGCGAGUCUGAAUAGGGCGACGAGUUCGAGGGAUAAGACCCGAAACCGAGUGAUCUAGCCAUGUGCAGGUUGAAGGUGCGGUAACACGCACUGGAGGACCGAACCCACGUCUGUUGAAAAAGACGGGGAUGACGUGUGGCUAGGGGUGAAAGGCCAAUCAAACUCGGAGAUAGCUGGUUCUCCGCGAAAUCUAUUUAGGUAGAGCGUCUCGUAUUACCUUCGGGGGUAGAGCACUGGAUGGGCUAGGGGGUCCCAACGACUUACCAAACCUAACCAAACUCCGAAUACCGAAGAGUAGAGCGAGGCAGACACACUGCGGGUGCUAAGGUCCGUAGUGGAGAGGGAAACAGCCCUGACCGCCAGCUAAGGUCCCUAAGUUAUCACUAAGUGGGAAACGAUGUGGGAAUGCUUAGACAACCAGGAGGUUGGCUUAGAAGCAGCCAUCCUUUAAAGAAAGCGUAACAGCUCACUGGUCAAGCGUUCCUGCGCGGAAAAUGUAACGGGGCUUAAGUGAUACACCGAAGCUGCGGACUCGAAAGAGUGGUAGCGGAGCGUUCUGUAAGUCUGUGAAGGUGGCCUGCGAGGGCUGCUGGAGAUAUCAGAAGUGAGAAUGCUGACAUGAGUAGCGAUAAAGAGGGUGAGAGGCCCUCUCGCCGAAAGUCCAAGGGUUCCUGCGCAAUGCUAAUCAGCGCAGGGUAAGCCGGCCCCUAAGGCGAGGCCGAAAGGCGUAGUCGAUGGGAACCAGGUUAAUAUUCCUGGGCCAGCGGGUAGUGACGGAUUGCGGACGUUGUGCACUCUUACUGGAUUGAGUGUGCAGCCAAGCCGUCCCUGGAAAUAGCUCCCGCAUGAGACCGUACCCCAAACCGACACAGGUGGACUGGUAGAGCAUACCAAGGCGCUUGAGAGAACUCUGUUGAAGGAACUCGGCAAAUUACUCCCGUAAGUUCGCGAGAAGGGAGCCUGGCAUUAGGCAACUGGUGUCCAGGGGCACAGACCAGGGGGUGGCGACUGUUUAUUAAAAACACAGGGCUCUGCGAAGUCGCAAGACGACGUAUAGGGUCUGACGCCUGCCCGGUGCCGGAAGGUUAAAAGGAGGGGUGAGAGCUCCGAAUUGAAGCCCCGGUAAACGGCGGCCGUAACUAUAACGGUCCUAAGGUAGCGAAAUUCCUUG